GAGUUUGAUCCUGGCUCAGAACGAACGCUGGCGGCGUGCUUAACACAUGCAAGUCGAACGUGAUCCAGAGCUUGCUCUGGUGAAAGUGGCGCACGGGUGAGUAACGCGUGGAUAACCUGCCCUGGUAUCUGGGAUAACAUCUCGAAAGGGGUGCUAAUACCGGAUAAGCCUACGGGAUCUUCGGAUUCUACAGGAAAAGGAGGCCUCUAUUUAUAAGCUUCCGUAUCAUGAUGGGUCCGCGUACCAUUAGCUAGUUGGUGGGGUAAUGGCCUACCAAGGCGACGAUGGUUAGCUGGUCUGAGAGGAUGAUCAGCCACACUGGAACUGAGACACGGUCCAGACUCCUACGGGAGGCAGCAGUGGGGAAUUUUGCGCAAUGGGGGAAACCCUGACGCAGCAACGCCGCGUGAGUGAUGAAGGCUUUCGGGUCGUAAAGCUCUGUCAGAGGGGAAGAAAUGAAACGUGCUAAUAUCACGUUUUCUUGACGGUACCCUCAAAGGAAGCACCGGCUAACUCCGUGCCAGCAGCCGCGGUAAUACAAGGGCGACCUCWR
rnacentral:rRNA from 1 species